ACCCAGACUCCUACGGGAGGCAGCAGUGGGGAAUAUUGGGCAAUGGGCGCAAGCCUGACCCAGCAACGCCGCGUGAAGGAAGAAGGCUUUCGGGUUGUAAACUUCUUUUGACAGGGAAGAGCAGAAGACGGUACCUGUCGAAUAAGCCACGGCUAACUACGUGCCAGCAGCCGCGGUAAUACGUAGGUGGCAAGCGUUGUCCGGAUUUACUGGGUGUAGAGGGCGUGUAGCCGGGCUUACAAGUCAGAUGUGAAAUCCGGGGGCUCAACCCCCGAACUGCAUUUGAAACUGUAGGUCUUGAGUAUCGGAGAGGCAGGCGGAAUUCCUAGUGUAGCGGUGAAAUGCGUAGAUAUUAGGAGGAACACCAGUGGCGAAGGCGGCCUGCUGGACAGAAACUGACACUGAGGCUCGAAAGCGUGGGGAGCAAACAGGAUUAGAUACCCCCGUA
rnacentral:rRNA from 1 species